UCCCUGGUAGUAUAUCGGUUAGUACACGCGCCUGUCAUGAAGUCGACUUCAAUCGCUUGACCCGCGCGAAAGCUGGGUUCGACUCCCAGCCAGGGAG